rnacentral:rRNA from 1 species
AAUGAACGCUGGCGGCGUGCCUAACACAUGCAAGUCGGAUGUGCCGCAAGGUGCAUGGCAGACGGGUGAGUAACGCGUGGGGAAUCUACCUUUUUGUGGGGAAUAACGUUCCGAAAGGAAUGGUAAAUACCGCAUGUGACCACUUGUUGGAAUAUGGGUGGUGAAAGCCGGGGACCGCAAGGCCUGGCGCAAGAAGAGGAUCCUGCGUCUGAUUAGCUAGUUGGUGAGGUAACGGCCCACCAAGGCAACGAUCAGUAGCCGGCCUGAGAGGGUGAUCGGCCACACUGGAACUGAGACACGGUCCAGACUCCUACGGGUGGCAG